rnacentral:snRNA from 1 species
GUGCUUACUUCGGCAGCACAUAUACUAAAAGAAGAUUAGCAUGGCCCCUGCACAAGGAUGACACGCAAAUUUGUGAAGCAUUCCAUAUUUGU